GAGAGGACAAGGGCGGCUUCCGGGUGUUGGCGGGGGCAUUUGUCUCCUGCCGCAGCUGGGGCUGCAGAUCUAGUCUUCAGUUCACAGAGAACUGCCCCCCAACUGCUCCCCCGUACUCUGCUCCUACAGGCCCAGCUGCUGUGGCUGUGCGACCUGCAGGGACUGGCAGACCCGUAGCUAAGACGCCAGGAUUUCCUGGAAGCAGAGAAAUGGCCGAUUUCAC
rnacentral:lncRNA from 1 species